rnacentral:rRNA from 1 species
AAGUGCGAAUGCUGACAUAAGUAACGAUAAAACGGGUGAAAAACCCGUUCGCCGGAAGACCAAGGGUUCCUGUCCAACGUUAAUCGGGGCAGGGUGAGUCGGCUCCUAAGGCGAGGCUGAAAAGCGUAGUCGAUGGGAAACAGGUUAAUAUUCCUGUACUUGGUAAAGCUGCGAUGUGGGGACGGAGUAGGUUAGGUUAUCGCACUGUUGGAUAUGUGCGUUUAAGUUGGUAGGUGGGAAGUUUAGGCAAAUCCGGGCUUCCUUAACACAGAGAGAUGAUGACGAGGCUCUACGGAGCUGAAGUAACUGAUACCACACUUCCAGGAAAAGCCACUAAGCGAAAGGCUUUACUAAACCGUACUGAAAACCGACACAGGUGGUCAGGUAGAGAAUACUCAGGCGCUUGAGAGAACUCGGGUGAAGGAACUAGGCAAAAUAGCACCGUAACUUCGGGAGAAGGUGCGCCGGCGUAGAUUGUAAGGGCUAGCCCCUGAAGGUUGAACCGGUCGAAGAUACCAGCUGGCUGCAACUGUUUAUUAAAAACACAGCACUCUGCAAACACGAAAGUGGACGUAUAGGGUGUGAUGCCUGCCCGGUGCUGGAAGGUUAAUUGAUGGUGUAAUCGCAAGAGAAGCACCUGAUCGAAGCCCCAGUAAACGGCGGCCGUAACUAUAACGGUCCUAAGGUAGCGAAAUUCCUUGUCGGGUAAGUUCCGACCUGCACGAAUGGCAUAAUGAUGGCCAGGCUGUCUCCACCCGAGACUCAGUGAAAUUGAAAUCGCCGUGAAGAUGCGGUGUACCCGCGGCUAGACGGAAAGACCCCGUGAACCUUUACUAUAGCUUGACACUGAACAUUGAAUUUUGAUGUGUAGGAUAGGUGGGAGCCUUUGAAGCAGUGACGCCAGUCAUUGUGGAGGCGACCUUGAAAUACCACCCUUUAACGUUUGAUGUUCUAACGAAGAUGACGAAACGUGGUCUCGGACAGUGUCUGGUGGGUAGUUUGACUGGGGCGGUCUCCUCCCAAAGCGUAACGGAGGAGCACGAAGGUUUGCUAAUCACGGUCGGACAUCGUGAGGUUAGUGCAAUGGUAUAAGCAAGCUUAACUGCGAGACAGACAAGUCGAGCAGGUACGAAAGUAGGUCAUAGUGAUCCGGUGGUUCUGAAUGGAAGGGCCAUCGCUCAACGGAUAAAAGGUACUCCGGGGAUAACAGGCUGAUACCGCCCAAGAGUUCAUAUCGACGGCGGUGUUUGGCACCUCGAUGUCGGCUCAUCACAUCCUGGGGCUGAAGUAGGUCCCAAGGGUAUGGCUGUUCGCCAUUUAAAGUGGUACGCGAGCUGGGUUUAGAACGUCGUGAGACAGUUCGGUCCCUAUCUGCCGUGGGCGUAGGAGAAUUGGUUGGGGCUGCUCCUAGUACGAGAGGACCGGAGUGGACGCACCACUGGUGUUCCGGUUGUGUCGCCAGACGCAUUGCCGGGUAGCUAAGUGCGGAAGAGAUAAGUGCUGAAAGCAUCUAAGCACGAAACUUGCCAAGAGAUGAGUUCUCCCAAUC